CUAAAGCUCCAGGUGUCCAUGGUUUCAGGCAUGUUUUUGCAGUUUUGAUCGGUUUAGUCUCUUCCUUAGCUGGUGGAGUGAGUUAUUGUUUUUUAAGGGCUGCAGCAAAGGCCUCUGGCCAAUCUAUGUUGCAUUGUUCUAGUAAUGGGAUACAGGAUCAUCACGAGUAGCUCUGUCAUUUGGUAAAGUCAUUGGAUGUUUUCUUGUUAUUGUUUUAACUUGUUGUACCGUAUGUUUUAGACAAGAAAAAGGAAUUGGAGUGAGGUGUGCUUGGCCUAUGACCUGUAUACUUUGAACAGACCAGGCGUGUAAAUGAGCCGAGCUACUCGAGCUCGGCUCGAAACAAGUCAGAGUUUUCGAGCUUAAACGAGGCCAAGCCCGGCCCAAACAAAAUAAGCUUGUUGAGUAAAAGAGCCCGAGCUUCACUUAUCGAAGUCUAGCUACCUCGCGAUCCUAAACGAGUCCAUUACUUUUACUAUUUUUAACUAAUGUAUUAAAUUAUAAUCAUUACUAUUUAAAACUAUGAAAUUUAAUAUUAGUUAAAAGUUGUAUAACUAAUAAAGAAUUGUAUUAAAUUAAAAUAAUUACUAUAUUAACCCCUAGGACUGCAAACGAGUCGAGCCCGGACUUGAUUAGACUCAAGCUCGAGCUUAUUUAACUUAGAAAGCCUGAGGUCGGCUUUUAGGUAGUUUUCAAACUCGGGCUUGGCUAAUUAAUUUAUGUAAAUUAUAAAUGUUAUUUAUAUAUAAUAUAGUUAUAUUUUAUAAUUUUUUUUUUAAAAAAGUAAUUAUUAUAAUUUAAUAUAUUAGUUAAAAAUUGUAUAAAUAAUGGACUCGUUUUGGCUCACGAGGUGGCUAGAGCUCGAUAAGUGAAGCUUGGGCUUGUUUACUCAACAAGCAUAUUUUUAAGUUUGGGCUCGAUCUCGACAUUGUUUAAGCUCGACUAGUUUCGAGCUAAGCUCGAGUAGCUUAACUUGUUUACACCCCUAAGUACUUUGAUCUUUGCUGAUGUUGAAUUUAAAAUUUAUUUGAAUAAAUUAUGGAGAAGGCUCCAAUUUUAGACUUCUCUUUAGGCCUCUAAAAUGGUUGAGUCGCCCUUGAAUUGAUAUGGUAUGUUUGCUUUUAUGCUUGGUCAAUGAAUUUUUUAUUGGAUGAAUUUAUGCAUCUUAUGAUUUGUAGCAUGAAGAUAUAGAUGGUGAAGAUAGGUUCUUCGAUUCCUCUAUAAUGUCUUUCUUGCUAGUUUCUAAAAGUGCACAAGCAUAUUUCUAGUUCAUGAAAAGGUAAUGGUUUUGGAUUUGCUGAAAACUGAUAAGGUUAGAUUUUGUACGAUUGUCACAACUCACUACUGGUUACUUUUACUUGAAUUGCAUCCUUUUGAACUUGAUUCUUAAACUAGAAAAGUGACUUUAUUUUUCUUUAUUGACAUUAGAAAUACAAUUUGUAUUGACAUUAAAAAUACAAUCUGUUACUUGAAAUUCAUGAGUGAUGGCAGUGGUGGAUAUCUUCCACAGUUAACUUGGGCUGCAUCAACGGCAUCUACUACUAUCCACAAUUUGCGAGUGUUGUAUACCAUAAUGAGGACUAGCAGGGGUAGAUAUUAUGAGAAGCUUUAGAGCUGACUUUUAUGACAAUGAAAUUCUCACCAAAAGGAACUUAUAGACUUUUCGUGUAAACAUUAGAAUUUGGAAUAUGUUACUCAUUACACAACGU